AAUGAGAAUUCAAAAAAAAAUUUAUUAAAGAUGAUAUAAUGUUUGUAAUGGACCAAAUUUGCCCGACCCAAGCAAACACAAGAAAACCAAAACAAAAUAUAAAAUAAAUCAAUAAACAAAAAUUUUAAAACACAAAUAGUCCAUUAAAUGUCUAUUUACAGACUUUAGCCCAAUACUCAUCAGCCUAAUCCCUAACCCAGAAAAAUACAUGGCCCGAUGGCCCAAAACCUAGAUCUAGGAUCGGCCAAAUGAAACCCAAAAGGCUCUCUCCAUGCGCCGCAACCAUUCAGCCUCCACGCCUCAGUACGCUCCAGCGUUUCAGUAGUCAUGCGCGCACCCGUACGCCAGCUACCGUACCCGAACGCCAGCACGUCUCGUACCUGCAAAAGGGACGAACACAGAAGCAAAUGAAAACACCCAGCAGAAUAGACAAAAAACAAAGGAGAAUAUUGUAUUUAUGUUUUAUUUUCUACCAUUUUUCUCUUUCUCUUCGGCUAUAAAAAGCCAAGCUUUGAAUCGCCAGAAGAAAAAAAGAAAAAAGAAAGCAAUCAAAAGCAUUCGAAUAGAAAUAUUAAAAAGGUGACCUUUUUAGUUCUUCUUCUUUCCCGAUUCGGGGAUCUUUCUUUCCUAGUUUCUGUCUUUUGUAUUUGGUGUAUAAAAAACAACAAAAAAGGCUUACCUCCGUUCUUGGUUCCCUCGAAUCCUCGCUCACUUCGUCGCAAUCGGAGUUUUUUGGGGGGGGAUUCAGAGACUUCUAAAAGAACCUUUGGACUCACGGUCGAACGGAGCCGGAUUAGGCCUUUUGUAUGAUGACCGUCGAUCAAGUAUGAAGUUCGGACGGCAGGCGAAAGGACUUAGAGUUCGGCCGAAUGAAUAGGAGGCUAGGCUUUAGAUUUUUUUUAUCAUUUUGAUCUGCCUUUGAAUGGUAUACAACUAGUUUUAGGGUUUUCUUCAACCUGACUUUGUCAAAAGUGAAACGGCGUCGUUUCAAAGGGAGAGGGAUCCGCGUGUUAACCCGAUGGAUAGGCCGGGUCCGCGCUUCUUUGUUUGAAAGGGCUAAUUGUGCCCCAGGUCCCUCCCCUUUACGCGGAUGCUCAAUCGCCUCUUGUUUGCUUAUUUGUUUUUUUUUUUAGAUUAGCCCUGUAAUUUGAGCAUGUUUGCGCUUUAGUCCGUGUCUCUGCUCUGCGUUUUAGGACUUGGUUUAUUUCCAGUUCUAGUCCUUCUAUAUUCACGCGCAUUGCACUUUGGUUUUUUUUCUAUCUUACUAGUUUAUUUUAUUUAUUAAUUAUCCCUUUAGUCCGAUUUUAUUGCAAUUGAGUUUUACUUAAAUUUGUGUAGUUCAUUUUUUUUAUAUACAUAACAUUCAUUUUUCAAUUUUUUUUAUAUAUAUACAUUUUAAAUUACUUUGAUAAUUUACUUUGUCUUUUUUUUUUGUUGUUUAAAGUAUAAAACUAUUAUCUUAAAACUACCUUGUAUAUCAUAUUGUUUUCAAAAUUUUGUAUAAUAUUUAAUUUAUAUUUAACUUAUAUUAAUGCAUACAUGAUUUAUGACAAAAGUAGUUUUCUUUUAUACAUAUUAUUAGUUCCAUGAUUAUUUUACACUUUUAAUUUCUUUUAAAUCUAUUUAUUUGUAUUUCCCAUCAAAUUUAUUUUGUAUAUAGUUUAUUCUUUGAAAAAUAUAUUUUAUUAUUUUCUUGUUAUUUAAGACCAUUUCAUAUAUAUGUAUAUAUAUACUCUCUGUUAAAUCUAUUUAUGCGUGUUAUUUAUCUAUAUAUAUAUUGAUUUGCAUAUUGUCUAUAUUGUUUUGUUAUAAAUUUGUUUUCACGCUUAUAUGUACGUAAAUGUUUCUUAUAUUAUCAGUUUUGAAUGGUUGAACAUUGUGUUUUUACAUGGAUUGUUGAUCUUCUAUGGUUUUAUGUAUUUUCCUUUAAAUCUAUUUCAUUGUACAUUUCCUUUUAAAUCAAUUUUUUAUAUAUGUAUAUACAUAUAUUUUUUUAAAAAAAUUCUUAUAUAGUUCAUUACACAAGAACAUAUUUUAUUAUAUAUUCUUUUGUUAUUUAAGAACCUUUCAUGUCUUGUAUAUCAUUUAAGUUUUCUUUUAUUUUGCAUGAAUAUUGUCAACUUAAAAUAGAUGUAUUAUCUUGCAUGUUAUUCAAUUCAAAGUCUUUUUUAUAUUGAUAAUUAUUUAUAUAGUAUUUUUAUCCAUGUAAAUUAUUUCAAAUUCAAGCAUGUAGUAUUCGUUCAUCGAUUCAUCAUUUUUAUUGUUUUGCAUCAUAUUAGUUUUAUUUUGUUUGGUACAUUAUGUGGUGGUUGUUUUAGGUUAUUUCAUGCAUAUUGGUUGCACGUUAUUAAUUCGCCUUUUUAUGUGUUAGUAUAUCAAUCAUCAUUUACCCACGCUUGUAAACUUUGUUGUUUUAAAUUAGUUGUUAGUUUCAUUUGAUUGGUUAAAUAAAAUUACGUUGUCUUCAUUUACCAAGUGUCGCACACAUAUUACCCCAUUCAUCGUUUUCUACUAGAUCUUUGAAAUGUGGUUUUAUAAAACCCAAAUUUUAUGAUUAAUUUCGUCUUAUUUCAAAUCGAAUUAAUACGUCUUAAGCUAGCAUUAUAAUUAUUCAUUCAAAAAUUCUUCAAAACAAAGAUGAGAUUUGAUGUUUGGCAAUUCGCGGAAUCGUGCCCUAACGUGUUGGGUUGCAACUUCGCAUUUGCUCAAAAUAAUCGAAUAUCACUUCAAAGUUUCACUCAUAUCUUCUAAAAAUCUUUUAAAAUGAAGGUAAUACUCGGUAUUUGAUAAUUCGAGAAUCAUGCCCUAUCGUGCUAGGUUGUGAUUUCUCGUUUGUUCAAAACAAUCGAAUAUUCCUUUAUAUUCUCACUCAUGUUUAUUAAAAACACUUUAAAACGAAGACGAUGUUCAAUGUUUGGCGAUUUGAGAAUCGUGCCCUAUCGUGCUAGGUUACACUUUUUCAUUGGUUCGAAACAAUUGAAGAUCCCUUCGGAAUUUCACUCACAUUUUCUAAAAUCUUUCAAAAUGAAGGCGAUAUUCGAUGUUUGGCGAUUUGAGAAUCGAGCCCUAUCGUGCUGGGUUGCGCUUUUUCAUUUGUUCAAAUUAAUCGAAUAUCCCUUUGGAAUUUCACUCGUAUUUUCUAAGGUGAGGCAAUGAUCAAUGUUUGGAAAUUCGAGGAAUCGUGUCCUACUGUGCUGGGUUUCGAUUUUCCGUUGAACUAAACAGUUGAACAUCCUUUUGUGAUUUUCAAAUUAAAAAUUUUUCGAAUGUCGAAACAAGAAGAUUUUUGGUAACCGACUCGGGUUAUUUAAACAGAACCACACUUCAAAAACAUUUUUUUAGACAAAAGGGCAGUAUCUAAUCGAUUCGGUACCAAUUUUGGGCGUAGUGAGGGUGCUAAUCCUUCUUCAUGCGUAACCGACUCUCGAACCCGUCUUCUCAAAAGUUCGUAGACCAAAAUCAUUGUUUUAAUAAACCAAAAAUGUUUUAUUAAACUAACCUCAUUUUUAGGUGAUCCGAUCACACCAAAACAAAAGAUCGAUGGCGACUCCAUGCAUUUGUUUUUCAAAAGUCGAUUUCCCCCCUUUUUUAAAAAAAAUAUAAAAUUUUUAAUUCGAGGGAUGGUUUCGACAGCUUGGCGACUCCACUGGGGACUAGAGAGAGUCUAGCCAUAAAUUUGAUUAUUUGUUGUCCUUUUGUCAGAAAUUGAAAAUUUGUUUUUUGCAUUCGAUUAUAUGAUCGUUUUAAUGUGGGUCUAGUAGAAUGAUGCUGCAUUGCAUUACAUGACCGUUGUGGUUACACCUUCUAAGUGGGAGUAAGAAACUACGCUUUCGUGAGGUUUUCACCUCCGCAUGGGCUAGUGGAUUGCUUCCGGGGUACAUCCUUACCUAUGAUUUCGUGAGAUUUUCAUCUCCGCAUAGUCAUAGGGAAAUGUAUCCUCCCGAACCGAACUCGAUCUACAUGAGCCUAUAAUGGGUGAGGAUCGAGGAAUCUGCUGGUUCGGGUACCCUUACUCUAGAACCAAGCAACAUAUAGAGAGACCUAGGAGCUUACCCUAGGUAGAGCCACUCUGAACCCCUAGUGAUCACCUGAUUAGGUACUUUGUUGGUUGUUUAUUUCUGUACUAACGUGUUUUUUUUGUUCAUGAUUGCAUUGCAUUACAUCAUCAUAGAAAGGAGGUGUUGAUUCAUAUUCAAUUGCUAAAUAGAACAAUUUGUCAUAAGAAAACAAAUUUCUUAAUAACGCGGAUUACAAUACGGUUGUCCGAAUUUGGUCCAAGUGAACACGAUAGAAGAAGGCUAACAGUUCGUGGAGGAAAACAAAACUUUACCUAAGGAUUCAAGCUGAUAAAGAUUAUCCAAAAGCCGUCGCAUCCCGACUUUCUUAAAGGAGCUAAUUAACAUUGCGAGGAUAGUAAUUCGUGGCCUGGAUCAAGCAAAAUGAGCCAGUAGAGGCAUGCAUUGGAAGCUUGCGAGAUUUGACUUUUAUGAAGAAAGGGGAUCAAUGCCUUCGCCUCGAAUAUGAAAGCAAGGCCGUAUACGUAAUUCGUUUUAUGAAAAAGAAUUUGUUUUAUAGAAAAGUUGUUCUAGGGGAAUUGAAUUCAAAAUCAACAUCUUCCUUUCCUUUGCAUUCAUCCCAUGCAUUUACAUUGCAUUGCAUCAUUUGCAUUGCAUUGCAUUGCAUCAUUUGCAUUAAAUUUCCCAAAAGGACCCUAAUUAGGUAAAGUUAUUUCAGAACUGACAAAAGAUAUGGACCAAAGGUUGGAGAGAAUGGAGCAAAGGCAACUACAGAUGCAAGAGCAGUUGAUCGAAAUUCAACAAGAUAUGCGAGAAAUGCUAGAACUCCAAAAAAAUAUGAUGGGCCAGGUAACCCAUUUACUGGCCGGAGAAUUCAAAAAAAGGAGUGGCCCAGUGGUCAAUGGUGGGGAUGAUGUUGAAGAGAUCAUUUACUCCCCAGGCUUUACCCCAAUAAGCGUUCCGACCCAACCAGACAUGCAAGGGGUACCCGCUGUUAUCGGACACCAAUAUCAGACGGAUACAUCAACACUGAUGAGUUUCUCGAUGGGUUCAGGUUUUAACCCGAAAGAUGAUCAAGCCAAGCCAGUUGCUCUGGCAGAAACAAAAGCAAAGGGGGAGCGGACUUUAACGGCCCCGAAAAAGAAAGAAAAUAAGGCAAAUAGUACGAGUAGGUAUAACAAGGGUCGUUCGGAGCCGAUUAUAGCAGGCCGGCCAAGGUCAGUAGCUACCAGCCAUCAGGCCUCCUCAAGGCAAGAACCCAAUCGAAAAUCGAACUCAAAAAAACCCCAAUACACGCCCAUUCCAAUCACAUACGGAGAGUUGUACCGCGUUCUAUUCGACACACGUGUUGUAUCCCCUUUUUACAUAAAACCAAUACAACUUCCGUACCCUAAAUGGUAUGACGCAAGCAGCCAAUGUGAAUACCAUGCGGGAAUCACGGGGCAUUCUAUCGAAAACUGUAUCGUUUUUAAGAAGCUAAUCGAAAGAUUUAUUAAAUUGGGUAUUGUGGAAUUUGAUGGUCCCUCUGGAGCGGGAAAUCAGUUAUCCAACCUUUCUGUUAAAGAGGCGAAUGUUAUGAGUUCCAUGCUAGAUUAGGGCACGAGAUUUAAGGGUGCAUCGAGCUCGGGACUCUAAUGCAAGGCCUGGUAUUGGGGAACCCGACCAUCAACGAUGUAUCAGAAGAGGGAACCCGAGAGUAGACUUUUCCAAGCUUCUUUCUUUACGUACUUAGGGUGUUUUGAACAAUAGGACUGUGAAAAGGAUCUUUGUAUUUUUUAGAGCUAAUCUAGAGUAAUAUUCAAAACACACUUGUUGUUUUAAGCCUAGAAGCAACAAGAAUCCUUUUGUGAAAUAGACUUAUAUCCAAAAUCUUUAUUUCAAUGAAAUACAUGUUUGAGUAAAUAUUCUUUUAUUCUUUCUAUUUUAUAUGUUUAUUAUUAGAUUCUUUCAUUCAUGAUCAUACCAUACAAAUAAUCAUUCAUAGAAUCAUUUAUUCUUUGAAAUAUGCCUUCGUACCUCUAACAGGUCUCUAGAUACCAAUGACGUGAGCGACGCUGUCAUUAAUUUCGAGUCUUUUUUGAGCAAGAUAUGUGUCUAGAGGGUCACUUCAUGUGUCAAUAAUUACAAGAUUAAUAGUCGUCAAAUUUCAAAUUUCAAAUUUCAAAAAAAAAAAGAAAGAAAAAGAGAAGCGGUUGCUGACAAGUAAUGUCAAAAAGGAUUAUCUUCAAAUACAUUUGCACAAUGUCAAAAGUUUGCAAUUUGUUCAAGGAUCAGGCACCAUAUUACAGUGCAGUAAAGGCAUCCAAAAAGAAAGACAAAAAGUUCAAAAAUAUAAAAAAAAGAAAAAAAAAAGGGGAAAGCAAAUAAUAGAACAAAAGCCAUAGUGAAAAAUGACAGAGUCUUGUAAAUAUUGUCAUAAAGAAGUUAUCAUUUACCCUCUAUAUUUGUCAAACGUCGGCCAGAACCUUCGCCGAGGCAAUACAUUGUUCGAUGGAUUUUGAAAGAAAGAUUUCUUUUGGUCAAGUCUUAGCUGAAGUUGGAUUAGGCAAAAUAGAUUUAACCCCGAUAUGAUCAGUUGAAUUUGAAGAAAGGAGAUUGAAAGCCAUAUGACAUGGCCCAAUGUACCAGAAAUGAAUGAUGCAAGCUUACAUCAGAAAGGUUCUUCUUAAAGGAUUCCAUAAGGGAGACCGGGCAUUGAAAAGUUCCUUUUUACAAAAAAAGACUUCCAAGGAAAGUGAAAGGCCACAGAAAAAACCCUCAAAUGAUACUCUGAGAUCUUCAAAAAAUAAUAAAAUAAAAAAAAAGAGAAAGAAAGAAAGAAAGAAAAUGAGAGGCCAAAGCGAAAACCCGCAAAUGGCGCCUUGAGACCAAGGGGGAUUUGAGUUGAAAACCCAAAAGGGCAGCUCAAAUUUGGAUCAAAGUGAGGCAUACAGUAGUCUUGCUAAAUCUGAAUUAACAAUAAAAAAGUAUGCUACAUCUUGGGGCAUCGACAAAGUGCCGCGGAUCCCCUAAACACAUAUUGAGAUCAGAAAGGUCCUCAAGAAGUUAGUACAGAGAAGCUCAAGCUGCGAUAUCUGGGGCACCUAGUUUCCAUUUUGCUCAUUUUGAAUUUGUUAUCUUUGAUUGCCUUAUUCUUUUCAAGAUACAUCCCAAUAAAUUUCCUUCUUAUUGCAUCGUUAUCUUUGAUUAACCCAUUCAUGUUGAUUUAAUUGCCUUCUUGUUGCAUUUGCAAUCUUUGAUUAACUUAUUUGCUUCGAGUUGUGCUCUUACCCAAUUUUCUUCUUGUCCAUUGUUUUGAUCUUUUUCGAGCAUGUUGCAUUGAAAUAAAGAUUAAUGGACCAAUAAUACUUUCAUAAAAGAAGUCUUGCAUAUUACUCGAGAGGCUUCUAAAUAGUACAAGAACCUGAAACAAGACUGUUGUUGAGAACCCACCAAACCUAAGGGAUGGAAAUGUUUGAGAAGGAGGAGUCUAAAUUAUGGCUAUCUCUUCGGAUUUUCUAUCACAGGUAUCGGUUGAAUGAAGAGGCAAGAUAUUUCAUCGGUGAUACAACCUUGACAAAUGACGAGCAAUGUCAACCCAAGUGUAAAAGGGGGAUCGUUAUCAGGAAAAGAAAAAUGAUAUUUCGCAUUCACAUGAAUAUCAGACAUGCACAUAGGGUCAUUACACCCAAAGGAUGAUCAAAUUGAUCCUAUACCCUGAGUUGCAGUGGGUUGGAUAAGCAAAAACUCAAUAAAAUUUCAGUAGGGCAAGCUUGCCGAGCAGAUUGAGAGUGUUUCUUUGGGUUUUCUGUCAAGAAUACCAGCUGAAUAAGGUGGCCGCGUAAUACGUCAGUGAUAAUGUCCUGAUGAACGAGCAAUAAUACCUAGGUCUUUUUCAUUUCCAUAUCAUUCAUAACACAUCUAGUUAGAAGCAUUCGAUUCAUCUCAAUCAUAGCAUUCCAAUUAUUUGACACAAACAUCACAUCUAGUUAGGAACAAUUGAUUCAUGUUGAUCAUAGCAUCCUAAUUAUUUGGCAUAAGCAUGGGCUUAUGAGGCUAAAAUUUUAGAUCUUAUUUCCCUGAAAUUGAAGUGAAGCAGAUCGAAGACGGCGAAUCUGAGCUUCCUGAAGUUGCAGUGAAGUAGAUUUAAGCCACCAACCUAGCUCUCUAAAGUUGUAGUGGAGUAGGCUAAAAUUUCAGAUCUUGUUUCCCUGAAGUUGCAGUGAAGCAGAUCGAAGACAGCAAAUCUGAGCUUCCUGAAGUUGCAGUGAAGCAGAUUUAAGCCACCAACCUAGCUCCCUAAAGUUGUAGUGGAGUAGGCUAAAAUUUUAGAUCUUGUUUCCCUGAAGUUACAGUGAAGCAGAUCGAAGACGGCAAAUCUGAGCUUCCUGAAGUUGCAAGGAAGCAAAUUUAAGCCACCAUCCUAGCUCCCUAAGGUUGUAGUGGAAUAGGCUGAAGAUUAUAAAUCUUGUUUCCCUGAUAUUGCAGUGGGGCAGAUCGAAGACGGCGAAUCUAGGCUUCCUGAUGUUGCAGUGAAGUAGAUUUAAGCAAGUCUUAGCUCUCUAAAGUUGUAGUGGAGUAGGCUGAAGAUUGUAGAUCUCGCCUCCCUGAAGUUGCAGUGAGGCAAAUCAAAGACGAUAAAUCUUGGCUUCCUGAAGAUGCAGCGAAGCAGAUUUAAGCAUCCUAGCUCCCUAAGGUUGUAGUGGAGUAGGCUGAAGAUUAUAGAUCUUGUUUCCCUGAGAUUGCAGUGGGGCAGAUCGAAGACGGUGAAUCUAGGCUUCUUGAUGUUACAGUAAAGCAGAUUUAAGCAAGUCCUAGCUCUCUAAAGUUGUAGUGGAGUAGGCUGAGGAUUGUAAAUCUCGUCUCCCUGAAGUUGCAGUGAGGCAAAUCAAAGACGAUAAGUCUUGGCUUCCUGAAGAUGCAGCGAAGCAGAUUUAAGCAAGUCCUAGCUCCCUAAAGUUGUAGUGAAGUGGGCUGAAGAUUGUAGGUCUUAUCUUCUCGAAGUCUCGAUAGAACAGAUCAAGCUAAUUACAGAAUAAUAGAUUAAAGUAACAAGCCUCAAGUAGCCGCAGUGGAGUAGAUCAAAGCAACAGUUCUUAUACCUUUAAAAAUGCAAUGGGGCCAGUUGAAGAAGAGAAGCACCAAAGAAGUAAAGAUCCUGUAAGACCAGACAGAUUUGGCGUCUCUGUAGUAGCGGAAAGCAAAUCGAAGAUAGCAGAUUUAGCAUCUCUGUAGUGGCGGUGAGCAAAUCAAAGAUAGCAGAUUUGGCGUCUCUAUAUUGGCGGAGAGCAGAUUGAAAAUAGUAGAUUUGGCGUUUCUGUAUUGGCGGAGAGCAGAUCGAAGAUAGCAGAUUUGGCGUCUCUGUAUUGGCGGAGAGCAGAUCGAAGAUAGCAGAUUUGGCGUCUCUGUGUUGGCAGAGAGCAGAUCGAAGAUAGCAGAUUUGGCGUCUCUGUGUUGGCGGAGAGCAGAUCGAAGAUAGCAGAUUUGGUAUUGGCGGAGAGCAGAUCGAAGAUAGCAGAUUUAGCGUCUCUGUAUUGGCGGAGAGAAGAUCGAAGAUAGCAGAUUUGGCGUCUCUGUAUUGGCGGAGAGCAGAUCGAAGAUAGUAGAUUUGGCGUCUCUGUGUUGGCGGAGAGCAGAUCGAAGAUAGCACAUUUAACGUCUCUGUAUCGUCGGAGGGCAGAUCGAAGAUAGCAGAUUUUGCGUCUCUGUAUUGACAAAGAGCAGAUCGAAAAUAGCAGAUUUGGCGUCUCUGUAUUGACAGAGAGCAGAUCGAAGAUAGCAGAUUUGGCGUCUCUGUAUCGUCGGAGGGCAGAUCGAAGAUAGCAGAUUUGGCAUCUCUGUAUUGUUAGAGGGCAGAUCGAAGAAGUUAGAUUUGGUGUUUCUGUAUUGGCGGAGAGCAGAUCGAAGAUAGCAGAUUUGGCGUCUCUGUAUUGGCGGAGAGCAAAUCGAAGACAGCAGAUUUGGCGUCUCUGUAUUGGCGGAGAGUAGAUCGAAGAGAGCAGAUUUGGCGUCUCUGUAUUGACAAAGAGCAGAUCGAAGAUAGAAGAUUUGGCGUCUCUGUAUUGGCGGAGAGUAAAUCGAAGAGAGGAGAUUUGGCGUCUCUAUAUUGACAGAGAGCAGAUCGAAGAUAGCAGAUUUGGCGUCUCUGUAUUAUCGGAGGGCAGAUCGAAGAUAGCAGAUUUGGCGUCUCUAUAUUGUCAGAGGGCAGAUCGAAGAUGUUAGAUUUGGUGUCUCUGUAUUGGCGGAGAGCAGAUCGAAGAUAGCAGAUUUGGCGUCUCUGUAUUUGCAGAGAGCAAAUCGAAGACAGCAGAUUUGGCGUCUCUGUAUUGGCGGAGAGCAGAUCGAAGAUGACAGAUUUGGCGUCUCUGUAUUGGCGGAGAGUAGAUCGAAGAUAGCAGAUUUGGCAUCUCUGUGUUGAUAGAGAGUAGAUCGAAGAUGACAGAUUUGGCAUCUCUAUAUUGGCAGAGAGCAGAUAAAAAUAACAGAUUGGUGUUCCCGAGUUUUCAAGAAGCAAGUCGAAAAUAGCCAAUUUGACACUCCUGAAGACAUCAGAAUACCUUUAGGGAAUAUGAGGAUCAAGACUUUGAGACUUAGCCAGACCGGGCAAAUUUGGUCCUUUUUAUAGUCUUUGCUCCAUUCUCGUUACACGACAAUGAGCAAAGAGGGACAGCUGUAAUGGGCCAAAUUUGCCCGACCCAAGCAAACACAAGAAAACCAAAACAAAAUAUAAAAUAAAUCAAUAAACAAAAAUUUUAAAACACAAAUAGUCCAUUAAAUGUCUAUUUACAGACUUUAGCCCAAUACUCAUCAGCCUAAUCCCUAACCCAGAAAAAUACAUGGCCCGAUGGCCCAAAACCUAGAUCUAGGAUCGGCCAAACGAAACCCUAAGGCUCUCUCCGUACGCCGCAACCAUUCAGCCUCCACGCCUCAGUACGCUCCAGCGUUUCAGUAGUCAUGCGCGCACCCGUACGCCAGCUAUAGUACCCGAACGCCAGCUCGUCUCGUACCUGCAAAAGGGACGAACACAGAAGCAAAUGAAAACACCCAGCAGAAUAGACAAAAAACAAAGGAGAAUAUUGUAUUUAUGUUUUAUUUUCUACCAUUUUUCUCUUUCUCUUCGGCUAUAAAAAGCCAAGCUUUGAAUCGCCAGAAGAAAAAAAGAAAAAAGAAAGCAAUCAAAAGCAUUCGAAUAGAAAUAUUAAAAAGGUGACCUUUUUAGUUCUUCUUCUUCCCCGAUUCGGGGAUCUUUCUUUCCUGGUUUCUUUCUUUUGUAUUUGGUGUAUAAAAAACAACAAAAAAGGCUUACCUCCGUUCUUGGUUCUCUCGAAUCCUCGCUCACUUCGUCGCAAUCGGAGUUUUUUUUGGGGGGGAUUCAGAGACUUCUAAAAGAACCUUUGGACUCACGGUCGAACGGAGCCGGAUUAGGCCUUUUGUAUGAUGACCGUCGAUCAAGUAUGAAGGUCGGACGACAGGCGAAAGGACUUAGAGUUCGGCCAAAUGAAUAGGAGGCUAGGCUUUAGAUUUUUUUUUUUUUAUCAU
rnacentral:lncRNA from 1 species